AGAUCUGAAGGGGUUUCGUUUCAUUCGAACUAUUGGCCGUUGUGAAGGGGUUUCGUUUCACCUCAAACUCAAACGCAAUCGAAGGUAUUCUUUCUUUUUCUUUAUAUCUGAUUUUUUUUAUUUAUUUUUAUGGCAUUUACCUUCUCUCGUUUUCAGAUCUGGUGAAACGAAGAACACCAAAUAUAAAUAAAACUGAAGGGAUUCUUAAGUCUUAACGCGGAUGAAUAGCCAAAGCAAAUGGUCGUACGCCAUUUAGCCACCUUUUAUUUUUAUAUUUAUAUUGGGACUGCAAAAUCACAUUCCUCCUCUGUUUCUCCUUUAUUUGUUGCUCAAAACUAAAGCCUCAAGGAAUCGAAAAAGAAGAAAGGAAAAAAAAUAAAAAAUAAAAAUGCCGCUGAUAUUCACAUGAGACUUACAUAUAACAUAUCCGAAAAGUCACCAAAUUCUAGAAUUCUUUUUGUGUUUGCUGACCAAAGACUCUUCUCCUCUUCAAUUUCUGUGAUUUGGGUUUUAUCAGGAAGAUCUCACAAAAAUGGCAGGUCGUUACGAUCCCAACCCUUUUGAGGAAGAAGAAGUUAAUCCCUUUUCUUUCAAUCCCAGAUCUGGAGAAUUCUUCCUCAAACGCCGAAGUUGAUGACGUGAGAGAUCAAAUAUAGAGACGAUGGUUGAUUAUUUAAUUUUAAUUUAAGCAAAUAUGUAUACAAUUUGUAAUUUGAAGCAAUAAAACGAAUAUAAUUGUUUGUAUACAAUUUGAUUUUAAGGGAAUUCGCACAUUCAACUGAAUGCAAGAAAUCGUGUAUAUAAAUAAGAUUAGUUGAACUCUUACUGUGAUCGUAACCGGUGCCGCUGUUCUUAGUCUCGAUAUGUAAUUUUAUUUGAUUGAUUUUUUGUAAUUUAUGUAUUCUUUUUAUGUAAUUAUUUCUCUUUCUUUAUUUUCUGUAAUUUAUUAUAAUAAAUCUACGAUUUUUUUUUGUGAAGAAAUCAAAAUCUUUAUUGCGUU